CAGUACGUCAUCUUGGAAGGCAAGUUCUAACAAUAAAAUUGUGCUGCCCUUAAUAUGUUAAUAUAUGUUUGGCUGUUGGUUUGGCGACACCUAGUGUACGCAAUAAUCCACUGCAUUUUUUUUUGUCUGCUGUUCACCUGGAUCCCUCGCCACAAAAACGCUGUUACUUGUCGUUAUGGAAUACGAUCCAUUACGCGUCUUCCCUGGAGUCUAUAUGUCUGCAGAUGAGCUAAAGGCACAAGAAGACCUCGUGAUGCAAUGACUGAAAUCAGCGCCAUCUACAGCUACUAGAUCUACAUUACCUCGUCCGUCCCGCAGCACCACUUCCUUGUCGUCCACCAGCCAGCGGUAGCACGGGAACUCCACGUUGUCGCCGGCCGGAGUCUUGACAGAGAUGUACCUGCAGUACCAGUCGUCGUGCACCCAGUACUUCCUCUUCUCCAGCUUGACCAGCACCAGCUCACCCAGGUCCUCCUCCACGCUCACCAGGGCGCCAUUCCGAUGAGGGUCGGCGUCAGUCCCCUGUAGAAUCCCAAGAAUCCACCCUCCUUUGCCACACGAUGGGAAAAAAACAAAGUGUGAAUAUCAAACACCAUCAUUCAUCAGCAUGACCAAUAGCAGCUCACGUUGGUAUAGAUGCUGUGGAAGGCGUUGGCAAUUCCAGUGUAGCGGUGCUCCCCUGUCACCUGAAAGGCCAGCCUGGCUCGAACCAUGUCCAGCGGAUAGGUGCAAAUCACUGCCGUCAUCCCUGACAACACACAUGCACAGAUGCUUUAUGACCAAUUUCUGUUAUUUGGAUUGACAUCAUCAAUUCCAUUCAUAAGCUACCUGCCAUGGAGCCGGCCAUGAGGCGGUGAAUGUGUCCGGUGAGCCCAAGCCGUGUAUUUAGCAUCUGGAAGUAACGAAGUACAAGUGCAGGUUUCAUCAACACACACAAAACUAGUCCAAAAUGGACUCCGCAAUAGAAGAAGUGCCUUACCUUUUUAUAAUUUUCAAAGGCCAUGAACUGGAUUGCGCCAUAAGGAAAUAUCCUCACCAUCAUUGCCCCAUUGCCUUUGUACAAGCCGAGGUAGCCUUCCUUUUUUGGCACAGCUUUGAGAGUGGAAAACACCCCUAAACAGGAAAAAAAGUCAGAAUCUUAUUCCUCAAACUCAUGAGAUGGAUGGAUGGACUUCCUUUGUCAUUGCACAAUAACAGCAGUGAAAUUGCCAACAAUAUGCCGUUGCAUGGCUCCCGUGUAAUAAUAAUAAUAAUAAUAAUACUAAAAGUAAAAAGUAUUUUACCAAGGUGUUUGUAGUGAGGAUUCUGGGCCUGGAGGAGAAUCUUCACCCUGUCCAGAGGAGCAAUUGUAGUCUUGGCACAGCAUCCUGCAACACCUACGACACCAAAACAACCAUUUUAGCGUUACUUAAAAAAAAAAGUACCAUGAAAAAUAGAUAAAAAACAUCGCAAUCUACUAAUAUCCAAUCCACUUUAUUUAUAUAGCACAUUUUAUGAACAGAGUUUCCAAAGUGCUGCACAGACUAGUAAAAAUAAAAAGUAAUAAUCCAAAACUAAAAGAUCAUUUAAGAAGUAAAAUAGAUAUUAAAGUAUUAAAAACAAGAAACAAAAAGUAUAAAAAAUAAAACCAAUUACAAUAAAAACGAAGAACUAAAAGACACAGGACCAUACGACUCACUAAGAGUUAAAAGCCAGAGAAUAAAAGUGGGUUUUAAGACGAGACUUAAAGCUUUAAAAGCCUUUAAGCUAAUAUAAUUUCUAUUGUUACAGUCUCCAAGCCUCCACCCACCAAGAUGAAGAGACUGUAUGACUGACAAAAGGGCUCACUCUGUUCAUGCCAUUGUUCUAUGGAAAAAUGGGCCAAUUUUCUGAAACCAAUGUUCUUCCAGCCUGUUGUUCCUGGAGGCAACAAACAAGCAAAACAUACCCGCAUGCACAUCAUAUAUUGAGGCUGGCAAAAUGAUCCACUUCAUUUUCAGUUAUUGUGAGAUGAAUUAUUCAUUUUCUAUGCUGCUUUUCCUCCCUACGUCUUUGGGGCGAGAGGAGGGGUACACCCAGGACUGGUGGCCAGCCAAUCACAGGGCUUUGUUAUUGAUUGUUAGCUUUUCUAGUAAGACGUUUGAUUUGUUUUCACAUAAAUUAACUUUUGACGUUAUUGUCGGUUCUGCUCUACAGAAUUGUCUUACAUCAGUAAGAGCGCUUCAUCAAUGCCGAGUUGGCAUACACUCCUGGUGUGAUGAAAUUCUGACAAAAACGUUGAAUUUUCAAAAAUACUUCAUUGUACAGGCUGCACAGCGGUCCAGUGGUUAGCGCGCAGACCUCACAGCUAGGAGACCUGAGUUCAAUUCCACACUCGGCCAUCUCUGUGUGGAGUUUGCAUGUUCUCCCCGUGCAUGCGUGGGUUUUCUCCGGGUACUCCGAUUUCCUCCCACAUUCCAAAAACAUGCUAGGUUAAUUGGAGACUCCAAAUUGUCCAUAGGUAUGAAUGUGAGUGUGAAUGGUUGUUUGUCUAUAUGUGCCCUGUGAUUGGCUGGGCACCAGUCCAGGGUGUACCCCGCCUCUCGCCCAAAACACUCAGUUUCAGAGGGCGUUUCUAAAACUGUACUUUUGUGAUGUCACAGAAGGCUGGGCUUCCUUAUGGGCGUGUCUGUAAGCCAGAUAUGCUCUCUGCCCUCCCCCAAGCUCUGCGUCGUCUGUUUACAAGGCAAGCUAAAGCAGAAGUUAUUGGGCUUGGUGAUUCCCAGCAAGAGAAAAUAUUUUCAUCUGUCAACGGCAUGUUUUUGUAAACAUGAAUGUGAAAUAUCCACCAAACUGUUGCGGAAUCCAGAAGCAGCAAAUAAAAGAGCACAAUAGGUCCCAUUUAAAUAUUUAUGUCAGCCAUCUUGGUCUGUUCCCUGUGAAUGAGUGUUUUCAAAGGCAGGGGAACUGCAUUGCUUUGGAGCAAAGACACUUCAAAAACUUUCGUUUCGCAAUAAAACACUUUAAAUCAAUAUUGUGUGUGUUUUUUCAUAUGACUUGGUGAACAAAUUUUUCAGACAAAUUUGCCAUAUUUUACAUUACAACUCAUUUGACCAUUUACACGAAGCUUAAACAACUUCACACAGCAACAAAUGAAAUCAUAAAAAGAUGAGGUCUUAUCUGAAGUAAAAGUUGAAUAAUAAAGAUGAGAAAAUAUUCAAUAUUUCACAGGCUAAUGUUGCGUUUACAGCAUGCAAGCUUUUCCGUCCUAUUGUCAUGUAACUGCAAUGAUUUUAUAUCUACAGCAGAGGUCGCUCUU